UACGUAGGGGGCAAGCGUUGUCCGGAUUUAUUGGGCGUAAAGAGCGUGUAGGCGGCCUGACAGGUCUGCUGUGAAAACUCGAGGCUCAACCUCGAGAUGUCGGCGGAAACCGUCUGGCUAGAGUCCGGAAGAGGAGAGUGGAAUUCCUGGUGUAGCGGUGAAAUGCGCAGAUAUCAGGAAGAACACCUAUGGCGAAGGCAGCUCUCUGGGACGGUACUGACGCUCAUGCACGAAAGCGUGGGGAGCAAACAGG
rnacentral:rRNA from 1 species